GAAAUUCUCAAUGAUUGCGAGAACGUCGAGCGCGCAAUUGUAAAUUUCCUCUUUCCGGCAAUUAGAGUAUAAAACUUGUAUUUGAAACCCUUUGUACUCGAUUCUUUAUAUGUUUCCAUUUUACGGAUUUGUUAUUUGAUUUUUUUAGAAGUAUAUAACUUCAACAUGCAAUUUUCUAUUUUCUACGUCUUUGGCUACCAAGAAUUAGAUCAGUAUUAUUGGUCAACAAAUAAACAUUUACUUUCAACAAAGAGAUACUGUGCAAAGAUACAAUUCUUUACGCGUAAAUUUGAAUUUUGUUUAUUCUUAUUCAUGCGCAAGAAAGUAAAAUUGAGGGAGCUGAUUACAGAUGUUUCGAGAACAAAGAUUGAACAGGAUCAUUAAUUUUUACGAACACAACGUUCUUUCGAUCAUAUUAACGUAUAAUGCACACAAAUCUACAAAUAACAACAACAAUCAAUCAACGAUUAUAACAAUCUUCAUAAGAUCAGCGACGAAAUUACCAUCCUAAAGUCCAAAGAAGUUAAAAAAAUUAGAAAGAUUAAAAUGUUGAAUUUCCUUAUUGAAACAAUCGUAUAUUCUAUACAAAAACAGCGAUACUGCUUGCUAUGUAUUGUGAUAAGCAUUCACGAACGAUCCAGAUCAUCGUCCAAACUGUCCACAUCGUAGACUUGAACAGAUUUAUCGUGAAUAUUCUACCACGUGCAGAUUCGUAAACAAAAUCUCGUUCGAUUUCUACUCAAAUUCAGUCUUUAAUUUUUGUCUUUUCUUUUUAAGUACAAAACUAGCAAAAA